GUGUUGCAUGAAAGGAGAGAAGGUUAGCACUCCCCUUGACAAGGAUGGGAAAAAAUACAUUCUCUGUUAUACUGCUUAUU
ensembl:snRNA